UACGUAGGGGGCAAGCGUUGUCCGGAAUCAUUGGGCGUAAAGCGCACGUAGGCGGCUUUGUAAGUUAGAGGUGAAAGCCCAGGGCUUAACCCUGGAAUUGCCUUUAAGACUGCAUCGCUAGAAUCGUGGAGAGGUGAGUGGAAUUCCGAGUGUAGAGGUGAAAUUCGUAGAUAUUCGGAAGAACACCAGUGGCGAAGGCGACUCACUGGACACGUAUUGACGCUGAGGUGCGAAAGCGUGGGGAGCAAACAGG
rnacentral:rRNA from 1 species